rnacentral:rRNA from 1 species
GAUGAACGCUGGCGGCGUGCCUAAUACAUGCAAGUCGAGCGAACAGACGAGGAGCUUGCUCCUCUGACGUUAGCGGCGGACGGGUGAGUAACACGUGGAUAACCUACCUAUAAGACUGGGAUAACUUCGGGAAACCGGAGCUAAUACCGGAUAAUAUAUUGAACCGCAUGGUUCAAUAGUGAAAGACGGUUUUGCUGUCACUUAUAGAUGGAUCCGCGCCGCAUUAGCUAGUUGGUAAGGUAACGGCUUACCAAGGCAACGAUGCGUAGCCGACCUGAGAGGGUGAUCGGCCACACUGGAACUGGGACACGGUCCAGACUCCUACGGGAGGCAGCAGUAGGGAAUCUUCCGCAAUGGGCGAAAGCUUGACGGAGCAACGCCGCGUGAGUGAUGAAGGUCUUCCGAUCGUAAAACUCUGUUAUUAGGGAAGAACAAAUGUGUAAGUAACUAUGCACGUCUUGACGGUACCUAAUCAGAAAGCCACGGCUAACUACGUG